UGGAAACAAGCAUUGUUUGUUUUCUGGCUCUUAGCCAAACCGAACUUUUCAAACAAAUUUGAACAAUGAUUGGCUAAUUUAUCAUAUCUAAUCUACUCAGUUGCACUUCAACCAUCAUUCGUGUGUGUAUUGUUUUCGGAGACCUGCAGACGGUGGCACACAUUCGCUGGAGGAAAGGCUAUGUUGGAUUGAGUUCCUGGACUUACGUAUAUAGGGAGCACCGGUGUCUCUGGAAGGUGAAUAACCCCAUACAGUAACGGGAAUAUGAGGGGAGCAGCGAUGCCUGCCGACGGCCAUACCAUGUUGGAGUCGCCACUUCUCGUCAGAGGGGGAUGCCACUUCUACACGAAACUGAGUGGCCCAGAAAAUCAACUCGGUGAGAGCAGCUUUUAGAAAGGAACACAGAAAGGAUGUUGGAUGUGUAAUAUACAGCCCCAUAACCAGUGUGAGGAACGCGUCACGGGUACAUGCUGAAACGAAAAGUGUCCGUACAGCCCCAUUCAAAGGAACCAUAAUUCAACAGAUCACCGUUCACUAGAAGUCUGAGUCCACCUGCCUCGAAUAGAUGAAAAGUCGAGCAGCAGGUUGUGUCACCUUUGUUUGUCUUCGUUCACCCGUACGAUGUUUAACAAGUAGAGGUUUUUAGAAAAACAGUCUGCCAGUAGUGAUACGCGAGCAUUCGAAACUGAACUUCAAAGACCAGCGAACAUCAAGUAAAACUCCUAGAUGGGAGCCUAGGCACCGGGAGAUACGCAUUUUCAUACCAAGACACCCUCGCCUUCAGUUGAACUCUCCAUUGCUGGAAUAUUGUGAGAAAUGGUUUCAUUCCACCAGCACAAGACCAUCUGCAGGAUGAAAAGCGUUUGCUGUGUGGGUUUAUCGCUACCAAUAAUGGAGCUCUUGCGCUACCAAAGUUUGUUCAACGUGAUUGUUAGUCUUCCAAGGCCACUUUCGGUCCAUCCAGAAAUGAAGGAGCAGUUGUUUUCACUACUAACCCAGAAAGGAAGGGUGUCAGGGGGAGUACAUCAAUCAUCUUACCCCAUCUGGCUGAGAAGGACUUUGCACUGUUUUUUCAUCUGGAUUUACUCCU